rnacentral:rRNA from 1 species
CGCGCAGGCGGCUUGGCAAGUCGGGUGUGAAAUCCCGGGGCUCAACCCCGUGACUGCAUCCGAUACUGUCAGGCUAGAGGUAGGUAGGGGAGAUCGGAAUUCCUGGUGUAGCGGUGAAAUGCGCAGAUAUCAGGAGGAACACCGGUGGCGAAGGCGGAUCUCUGGGCCUUACCUGACGCUCAGGCGAGAAGCGUAGGGGAGACCGAACGA